AAAAUAAUAAAGAAAGUUUGUUAUAAAGAUGAAGAGUAUGAAUGUUCCUAGCCAUGUCUUUCAUUUCUAGUAAAGAUAGUACUGAAUUGCGUCCUAUUAUUCAUAGUGGCGCAUUCAACCCGCAGAUGUAACAGUUGUUGCAUAAAAAUAUUAGCCAGGGCCGUGCAGCUAAUGGUAGUUAAGUGGUUACUGUUCUGCACAAAAGUGCAUAGGACCCUCUGACCCCAUACAGACUGUUGCUGGACGUAACAUGCACUUGGAAGGGAAGGAAGAUCAAAGUAUAGUUUUUAUUCCUCAUAUGGCAACAUAUAAUUAGUAUUAGCAGUGACAAGCUAGAAAUUACCAAGGAUGUUCAAAUUUAAAAGAAGUGAAAAAAAAUUCCGACAAAGGGAGUUCAAUAUGUGUUAUAUGCCUCUAAAGUGUAAUAUUUUACCUAUGUAUAC
rnacentral:lncRNA from 1 species